AGAGUUUGAUCCUGGCUCAGAUUGAACGCUGGCGGCAUGCCUAACACAUGCAAGUCGAACGGAAACAGGACGCUGUGAUCUCUUCGGAGAGAACUUGUCGCUGUCGAGUGGCGGACGGGUGAGUAAUACUUGGGAAUCUGCCCAGUAGUGGGGGACAACACGGGGAAACUCGUGCUAAUACCGCAUACGUCCUACGGGAGAAAGUGGAGGAUCUUCGGACUUCACGCUAUUGGAUGAGCCCAAGUCGGAUUAGCUUGUUGGUGAGGUAAAGGCUCACCAAGGCGACGAUCCGUAGCUGGUCUGAGAGGACGAUCAGCCACACUGGGACUGAGACACGGCCCAGACUCCUACGGGAGGCAGCAGUGGGGAAUAUUGGACAAUGGGGGCAACCCUGAUCCAGCAAUGCCGCGUGUGUGAAGAAGGCCUGCGGGUUGUAAAACACUUUCAGUAGAGAAGAAAUGCCUGGGGUUAAUACCCCCGGUCUUGACGUAACCUACAGAAGAAGCACCGCUAACU
rnacentral:rRNA from 1 species